rnacentral:rRNA from 1 species
UAGGGAAUAUUCAGCAUGGCGCAGCUGUGCAGCCAUGCCGCGUGUAUGAAGAAGGCCUUCGGGUUGUAAAGUACUUUCAGCGGGGAGGAAGGCGAUGCGGUUAAUAACCGUGUCGAUUGACGUUACCCGCAGAAGAAGCACCGGCUAACUCCGUGCCAGCAGCCGCGGUAAUACGGAGGGUGCAAGCGUUAAUCGGAAUUACUGGGCGUAAAGCGCACGCAGGCGGUCUGUCAAGUCGGAUGUGAAAUCCCCCGGGCUCGACCUGGGAACUGCAUUCGAAACUGGCAGGCUUGAGUCUUGUAGAGGGGU